GGGGUUGUGGCUCAGAGGUGGAGUGCUCGCCUAGCAUGUGUGAGGCACUGGGUUCAAUCCUCAGCACCACA
rnacentral:tRNA from 1 species